CUGAAACAUUAACAGGUUAAUUUCUCAUGUUUCCUUUGCAGGAGUCUACCCCUACCCACUGUGAAGCUUCUAGAGAGCAAAAAUUAAAAGCACUUCCCAGGACACAUUUUUCAACUAUAAAGAAAGGGAGCUGGAGAAGGAAAUGGCAAACCACUUCAAUAUCUCUGCCAAGAAAACCCCAAAAAGGAUCGUGAAGAGUUGGAUACAAUUGAACAACAUAGUAUUGAUUCUAAGGUGGAAGUUUCUUAAGUCUAGAUAGUCAAAGCAAUCUGAUUUGUAGCCUUUGCUGAUUUCUGAAGAGUGAAUGCUCAUGCUGAAAAUUUAACAGUUUUCAAGAGUUAUUAAGAAUUGUUUCCAGAAGUGGAGUCAAGAUGGUGAUGUAGAGACAGCGAAAGUUCAGAUCUUUGAAAACCCUUCCUUACCAAUUACAAACUAAAUGUUCCUAGGGGACUGAAAAUCAAACCCAACAACAAGACAGAACCAAUGAACCCUCCUGUUGGACUCAACUUGAAAGGUACAC
rnacentral:lncRNA from 1 species